rnacentral:rRNA from 1 species
GAUGAACGCUGGCGGCGUGCCUAAUACAUGCAAGUCGAGCGAACAGACGAGGUGCUUGCUCCUCUGACGUUAGCGUCGGACGGGUGAGUAACACGUGGAUAUCCUACCUAUACGACUUGGAUAACUUCGGGAAACCGGAGCUCAUACCGGGUAAUAUAUUGAUCCGUAUGGUUCUAUAUUGAAAGACGGUUUUGCUGUCACUUAUAUAUGGAUCCGCGUCGCAUUAGAUAGUUGGUAAGGUAACGGCUUACCAAGGCAACGAUGCGUAGCCGACCUGAGAGGGGGAUGGGCAAGGUUGGAACGGAGACAAGGCACAGACCACAACGGGAGGCGGCGGAAGGGAAUCGUACGCAAUGGGCGAAAGCCUGACGGGGAAAAGCGGCGUGGGUGAUGAAGGUCAUCGGAUCGGAAAACACUGUUAUUAGGGAAGAACAAAUGUGUAAGUAACUAUGCACGUCUUGACGGUAGCUAAUCAGAAAGCCACGGCUAACUACGUG